AUUGAACGCUGGCGGCAUGCUUUACACAUGCAAGUCGAACGGCAGCGCGGGCUUCGGCCUGGCGGCGAGUGGCGAACGGGUGAGUAAUACAUCGGAACGUGCCCAGUAGUGGGGGAUAGCUCGGCGAAAGCCGGAUUAAUACCGCAUACGACCUGAGGGUGAAAGCGGGGGAUCUUCGGACCUCGCGCUAUUGGAGCGGCCGAUGGCAGAUUAGCUAGUUGGUGGGGUAAAGGCCUACCAAGGCGACGAUCUGUAGCUGGUCUGAGAGGACGACCAGCCACACUGGGACUGAGACACGGCCCAGACUCCUAAGGGAGGCAGCAGUGGGGAAUUUUGGGCAAUGGGCGAAAGCCUGAUCCAGCAAUGCCGGGUGUGUGAUGAAGGCCUUCGGGUUGUAAAGCACUUUUGGCGGGAACGAAAAGGACUGUGCCAAUACCACGGUUCGAUGACGGUACCCGCAGAAUAAGCACCGGCUAACUACGUG
rnacentral:rRNA from 1 species